UUUUGGACAAUGGGCGAAAGCCUGAUCCAGCAAUGCCGCGUGUGGGAAGAAGGCCUUCGGGUUGUAAACCACUUUUCUCCGGAACGAAAAGGUCUGCCCUAAUACGGUGGGCCCAUGACGGUACCGUAAGAAUAAGCACCGGCUAACUACGUGCCAGCAGCCGCGGUAAUACGUAGGGUGCGAGCGUUAAUCGGAAUUACUGGGCGUAAAGCGUGCGCAGGCGGUUAUAUAAGACAGUUGUGAAAUCCCCGGGCUCAACCUGGGAAUUGCAUCUGUGACUGUAUAGCUAGAGUACGGUAGAGGGGGAUGGAAUUCCGCGUGUAGCAGUGAAAUGCGUAGAUAUGCGGAGGAACACCGAUGGCGAAGGCAAUCCCCUGGACCUGUACUGACGCUCAUGCACGAAA
rnacentral:rRNA from 1 species